UGGGGAAUAUUGGACAAUGGGCGAAAGCCUGAUCCAGCCAUGCCGCGUGUGUGAAGAAGGUCUUCGGAUUGUAAAGCACUUUAAGUUGGGAGGAAGGGCAUUAACCUAAUACGUUAGUGUUUUGACGUUACCGACAGAAUAAGCACCGGCUAACUCUGUGCCGGCAGCCGCGGUAAUACAGAGGGUGCAAGCGUUAAUCGGAAUUACUGGGCGUAAAGCGCGCGUAGGUGGUUUGUUAAGUUGGAUGUGAAAUCCCCGGGCUCAACCUGGGAACUGCAUUCAAAACUGACUGACUAGAGUAUGGUAGAGGGUGGUGGAAUUUCCUGUGUAGCGGUGAAAUGCGUAGAUAUAGGAAGGAACACCAGUGGCGAAGGCGACCACCUGGACUAAUACUGACACUGAGGUGCGAAAGCGUGGGGAGCAAACA
rnacentral:rRNA from 1 species